GUCGUUCUCCCCUUUCACCGUUCUCAAGCUUUCACCAUUCUCAAGCUUCCACCGUUCAUCGUUCUCCCUUCGUUCAUUCACCGUUCAGUUCAUCGUUCACCGUUCACAAUUCAUCAUUCGAAACUCGUACAGAAGUGUGAGCCAUCAGUGAUAAUGCCUCUGCCAAAGACUUAGGAAUAGACACAGAGGAGAGAGACCCUUUCUUUCUAUGGGUUUUCCAAUGAACUGGAGCUUGCUCUUAUUCAAUUUGCCGAUGAUAUUAGCUCAUAAGCUCAUGUUCAGGAAACAAUUAGCUCGAAGGCCUUUACUGAAAGGCUGUCCUCAAGGCUCACUGAUGUUGUUAUAUCAGUUAUGAAACCUGGAAUAAACUGGGUUGAAAUGUACAAGUAGGCUUUAUUUAGAUCCCGUCUUUACUUUCUUUUGUGCAUAUAAGAUAGUUUGAGGAGUAAAUUGUGCAACUCAUUUCUCUGGAAUAAACGACUCAUUUCUUUAUUUAGAUCUCGUAUUAUGUCUUGAUCUUGACUUUAUUAGGUAGUCUAAUUACAAGCUCAGGACAUCGAACCAUUUUCUUCUUUGACCACAGUACUGAAGGUUUGAAGGCAUUCAUGGGUUUUACAGGAGAAUUACACCAAGCCUUCUAAAUAAUGUCUCAGCGAUCUCAAUCACGUUUAUUGUGUAUGAAAACGUCUUAAACUUGAUCAAACUAACAAGACAAAAGGAAUAAAACCCGUGGAUUGAACUACAUUGUUAUUUCAUCAUUGCAGAAGCUGGAGGUAAAAUGCAGAACAUUUGUUAACCAAGUCACUUAUUUCGGACUAAAAAAAAGGUUGCGAGAACCGGUGACUAAGAGCUUUUUCGUCGCGACUUGGAGCUUUUUCAAACUGUUAUUGGGAAGUUUUUGGAUAGUUUUUAGAUAAGUUAGUUAAUUUAGGAAGUUGAGUUGAACUAGGAUGUUGAGUUGAACUUAUGACAAUCUAAUGAGAUUGUUUAUAUUAUUUUUGCAAAUGAUAUGAAAUAUUCAUAUAUGUAUUGUUUUGAAAA